AUUGAACGCUGGCGGCAUGCCUUACACAUGCAAGUCGAACGGCAGCACGGACUUCGGUCUGGUGGCGAGUGGCGAACGGGUGAGUAAUGUAUCGGAACGUACCUUUCAGUGGGGGAUAACGUAGCGAAAGUUACGCUAAUACCGCAUAUUCUGUGAGCAGGAAAGCAGGGGAUCGAAAGACCUUGCGCUGAUUGGGCGGCCGAUAUCAGAUUAGCUAGUUGGUGGGGUAAGGGCCUACCAAGGCGACGAUCUGUAGCGGGUCUGAGAGGAUGAUCCGCCACACUGGAACUGAGACACGGUCCAGACUCCUACGGGAGGCAGCAGUGGGGAAUUUUGGACAAUGGGGGCAACCCUGAUCCAGCCAUGCCGCGUGAGUGAAGAAGGCCUUCGGGUUGUAAAGCUCUUUCGGCCGGGAAGAAAUCGCAUAGGCUAAUACCCUGUGUGGAUGACGGUACCGGAAUAAGAAGCACCGGCUAACUACGUG
rnacentral:rRNA from 1 species